rnacentral:rRNA from 1 species
AAUGAACGUUGGCGGCGUGGAUUAGGCAUGCAAGUCGAGCGUGAUAGGUUUGGUGCUUGCAUUACACCUUGAAAGCGGCGAAAGGGACAGUAAUGCGUAGAUACCUACCUCCAGGUCCGGGAUAGCGGCGGGAAAAUGCCGGUAAUACCGGAUAAUGUCAUCGGACCAAAGGUGUGAUUCCCCUUGGUGAAGGAUCUGCGUUCACUUAGCCAGUUGGUGGGGUAAUGGCCCACCAAGGCGAUGAUGGGUAGCGGGCGUGAGUGCGUGGCCCGCGGCACUGGGACUGAGACACUGCCCAGACACCUACGGGUGGCUGCAGUCGAGAAUCUUCGGCAAUGGGCGCAAGCCUGACCGAGCGACGCCGCGUGCGGGAUGAAGGCCUUCGGGUUGUAAACCGCUGUCGGAGAGGCGGAAAUCUCUAGGGGUUCUCCCCUGGAGUUGACCUAAUCUCGGAGGAAGUCCGGGCUAAGUUCGUGCCAGCAGCCGCCGUAAAAC